AUCAGUAGUAUAUAUCAAAUUGAAGUUCACAUGCAUUUUAAAAAGUUGAGUAGUCUCUAUAUUCUUUAAAAAAGUCAUUUUUCGUAUAACUGCCCAAAAUUAUAAUGAUUAUAUGCUCGACGUAACAUGCAACACUAUUUUGUAAUGUUUUAAGGACAUCUCAUUGCCAAUGCUUAAAAAGUUUUGAGACAAACAAGUGGAGAUCAUCAAGAGUUCAAGGUCGGGAACACCCAAUUUUUUAUCUCUUGAGGUUGAAGUUAAUGAUCUACAGUCAGCCAUUUCACAGUAUAUACAAUCGAGGGCUGCUAAGUUUUUCCAAGCCUCCCUUGACAGAAAUACGCGCUAUGCGAUUUCACGAACUGUAAAAGAUUCAUCUUCUACAAAAGCAUGGCUUGAGAAGAUGAAAACCCUUUUCAUCAGUAAAGGGUCUAGGUUUUCAUCCCGUAGUGUCAUAACAGGUGACCCGUAUAGAGGUGUGGGUGAUAUUGGCAUCCCAUAUGAGAUAACCUUGAUGAGAACAUUCAAAGAAUGGGUCACAGAGCACAACAUGAAAUUUCUUCAAUAGUCAAUUGAUGACAAACUAUGCUUACUCUACACAGUUGAUGAAAUAUAUAUAUAACAUUAAAAAUUUGUUGUAUAGAUAACAAACAAUAAAGAUUCACUGUAAUGAUAUCUAGCCUUGAAUCAACUGUAUGUAAUGAUAGAUCAUGUUAUAUACUCUAUUAUUCUUAUUAAUUAGAGAUGGCGAUAUUGAACUA